AUUGAACGCUGGCGGCAUGCCUUACACAUGCAAGUCGAACGGUAACAGGUCUUCGGAUGCUGACGAGUGGCGAACGGGUGAGUAAUACAUCGGAACGUGCCCGAGAGUGGGGGAUAACGAAGCGAAAGCUUUGCUAAUACCGCAUACGAUCUCAGGAUGAAAGCAGGGGACCGCAAGGCCUUGCGCUCACGGAGCGGCCGAUGGCAGAUUAGGUAGUUGGUGGGAUAAAAGCGUACCAAGCCGACGAUCUGUAGCUGGUCUGAGAGGACGACCAGCCACACUGGGACUGAGACACGGCCCAGACUCCUACGGGAGGCAGCAGUGGGGAAUUUUGGACAAUGGGCGCAAGCCUGAUCCAGCCAUGCCGCGUGCAGGAUGAAGGCCUUCGGGUUGUAAACUGCUUUUGUAUGGAACGAAAAGACUCCUUCUAAUAAAGGGGGUCCAUGACGGUACCGUAAGAAUAAGCACCGGCUAACUACGUGCCAGCAGCCGCAGUAACAC
rnacentral:rRNA from 1 species